rnacentral:rRNA from 1 species
UAUUGGGCAAUGGACGGAAGUCUGACCCAGCCAUGCCGCGUGAAGGAUGAAGGCGUUCUGCGUUGUAAACUUCUUUUAUCUGGGAAGAAACCACUUUUUUUUAAGAGUGUUGACGGUACCAGAGGAAUAAGCACCGGCUAAAUCCGUGCCAGCAGCCGCGGUAAUACGGAGGGUGCAAGCGUUAUCCGGAUUCACUGGGUUUAAAGGGUGUGUAGGCGGAUAGUUAAGUCAGUGGUGAAAUCUCCGGGCUCAACCCGGAAACUGCCGUUGAUACUAUCUAUCUUGAAUAUUGUUGAGGUGGGCGGAAUACAUCAUGUAGCGGUGAAAUGCUUAGAUAUGAUGUAGAACACCGAUUGCGAAGGCAGCUCACUAAACAAAUAUUGACGCUGAGGCACGAAAGCGUGGGGAUCAAACAGG